UACGAAGGGGGCUAGCGUUGUUCGGAUUUACUGGGCGUAAAGCGCGUGUAGGCGGGUCGUUAAGUUGGGGGUGAAAUCCCGAGGCUCAACCUCGGAACUGCCUUCAAAACUGGCGACCUGGAGCAAAGAAGAGGCGAGUGGAAUUGCGAGUGUAGAGGUGAAAUUCGUAGAUAUUCGCAGGAACACCAGUGGCGAAGGCGACUCGCUGGUCUUUUGCUGACGCUGAGACGCGAAAGCGUGGGGAGCGAACAGG
rnacentral:rRNA from 1 species